rnacentral:rRNA from 1 species
GAUGAACGCUAGCGGCAGGCCUAAUACAUGCAAGCCGAACGGCAAGCCUUGUAGCAAUACGAGGCCUAGAGUGGCGCAAGGGUGCGUAACACGUAUGCAAUCUGCCCACAACAGGAGGACAGCUCCCCGAAAGGGGAAUUAACCCUCCAUGGGACCACACGAGGGCAUCCGAGAGUGGUUAAACCAAAAGGGGUUGUGGAUGGGCAUGCGGUUGAUUAGCUGGUUGGAGGGUAACGGCCUACCAAGGCGAUGAUCAAUAGGGGAACUGAGAGGUUUGUCCCCCACACUGGCACUGAGAUACGGGCCAGACUCCUACGGGAGGCAGCAGUAGGGAAUAUUGGACAAUGGGCGGGAGCCUGAU